rnacentral:rRNA from 1 species
CUUCGGCUGGAUUAUUUUUAUCACCCUUGUCUUUUGCGCACUUGUUGUUUCCUGGGCGGGUUCGCCCGCCACCAGGACCACACCAUAAACCUUUUUUAUGCAGUUGCAAUCAGCGUCAGUAUAACAAAUGUAAAUCAUUUACAACUUUCAACAACGGAUCUCUUGGUUCUGGCAUCGAUGAAGAACGCAGCGAAAUGCGAUACGUAGUGUGAAUUGCAGAAUUCAGUGAAUCAUCGAAUCUUUGAACGCACAUUGCGCCCUUUGGUAUUCCAAAGGGCAUGCCUGUUCGAGCGUCAUUUGUACCCUCAAGCUUUGCUUGGUGUUGGGCGUCUUUUGUCUUUGGCCUCGCCCAAAGACUCGCCUUAAAACGAUUGGCAGCCGGCCUACUGGUUUCGCAGCGCAGCACAUUUUUGCGCUUGCAAUCAGCAAAAAGGACGGCAAUCCAUCAAGACUACAUUUUUACGUUUGACCUCGGAUCAGGUAGGGAUACCCGCUGAACUUAAGCAUAUCAAUAAGCGGAGGAA